AAAUUUGUUAAAACAUGAUCACUGGAAUGAUUCCACUGUGUAUAUUCAUAUCAUUAAUAAUUUUUGUUCUCAAUCUUAUCAUGUAGGCGUAGCCUGUAGGCAGGUGUAGCGCUGCUAAUUACUGAAUAUAUAUAUAUCUUAUUAUAUAAAGUAUGGUUUUCAAAGUUGCUAACUCAUAGGAUCGUGCCACGUGUCAAGUCAAACGAUCAGAUGUUUACAUGUGUCAUUCAAAAUUUAACUUUUUUAUUCUCUAAAAAAAUAGAAAAUCUUAAAAAGUAAACAAAUUUACAUAUACUAAUUUAUAUGUCUAUAUAUUUAUAAACAAUUAACAUUUAUUCAAAAAAA
rnacentral:sRNA from 1 species